rnacentral:tRNA from 1 species
AAAUAUGAAGCAAAAUUUUUGCAUUUAAUUUCGACUUAAAAAAUAGAGUUAUUACUCCUUAUUUA